CUCAGCGCUGGGUCAAGGGUCCCUGAGUAACCGGCCGCCCCGCCCCAGAGGUGGCUGCAUCUCAGCACCGGGCGAGGGGUCCCAGGCAUGGGUGGGGUGACAGGCAAACUCCCCUGUGAAACACAAGGAGGGAGGUGGCCGGAGGCCUAGGCUGGGGGCACCCAGUGCUGUUGCUGUGGGUCACUGCACUGACCAUGGCCCCUGUGGUGGGGACUCGGAACGGCAGGGGGGCGCAGACCCAUUGCUUUGUGCCAAGUUCGCUUUGCUUAAAGGUGGAGGCGUGGGGCAGGGCUGGGGCCUUUUCAUCCCCCCGGGUGGGAGCCGCGGUGGUAGGGAACGCCCAGAGCAGCCCCCCAACUGCCUCGUGCACCCCCAUAACUCCUCCCCUGGUCCGGGCAGAUGGGGCGACCUGCCGCAGGGGUCUGGGGAGGGCGAAUGUACAGGGGGACAUGGGGGGCCUGGUCCCUCCGGGCUCUGUGUAUAUUUUGCUUUAAUUAUUUUUAUUUUGUAACAAGAAUUCAUUAACAAAGCACUUUAAAGCCCCGACUGCGUCUUGUGGGGGGCCAGGAGCGCCCCCCAGGCAGAUUUGGGGUUAUUCUCAAACUGACCCAGGAGAGUUGGUCUUAGAGUGGAGACUGGCUGGCUCAGGGGGGCAGGGAAUGGGGCAGGGGCCUGUCUCCUCUAUGGGGCGCUGGCUCCCACCCGGCCCCAGGGCAGGGACUGGCUGGCUCAGGGGGGCAGGGAAUGGGGCAGGGGCCUGUGCCCUCUAGGGGGCGCCGGCUCCCCCCCGGCCCCAGGACAGGGACUGGCUGGCUCAGGGGGGCAGGGAAUGGGGCAGGGGCCUGUCUCCUCUAGGGGGCGCCGGCUCACACCCGGCCCCAUGGGAGCCUGGCUGCAGCAGCAAUGCAAGGGUUAAUGGGGGGGGGGCGCAGAGCCAGCAUGCAGAUUCCCCUCCCUGCCCCCCUGCAGCUGAGGGGUGCUGCCUGGGGGCCCCCCAAGAGCCAUAUGGAGUGGGGGGGGGGGGUUGUGGAGUUCAUGGGACCCCCCCAGUAUUCAAUUUCCUCUGUACGUUGCUUGCAUCUGUCUAUCAAACACCCCCUGCGCCGUGGCCUUGAAAUUUCAUCUGUUAAUAAACAACCAAAUUCUGUGA